GGCGCCAUAGUUCAACGGAUAGAAUGUGGGUUUCCGGAGCCCAAGAUCCUAGUUCGAUUCUAGGUGGCGCUA
rnacentral:tRNA from 1 species